rnacentral:rRNA from 1 species
CCUACGGGAGGCAGCAGUGGGGAAUAUUGCACAAUGGGGGAAACCCUGAUGCAGCGACGCCGCGUGAGUGAAGAAGUAAUUCGGUAUGUAAAGCUCUUUCAGCAGGGAAGAAAAUGAAGGUACCUGAGUCAGAAGCCCUGGCUAACUCCGUGCCAGCAGCCGCGGUAAUACGUAGGGGGCAAGCGUUAUCCGGAUUUACUGGGUGUAAAGGGAGCGUGGACGGCAGUGCAAGUCUGGAGUGAAAGGCGGGGGCUCAACCCCCGGACUGCUCUGGAAACUGUACGGCUGGAGUGCAGGAGAGGUAAGUGGAAUUCCUGGUGUAGCGGUGAAAUGCGUAGAUAUUAGGAGGAACACCAGUGGCGAAGGCGGCUUACUGGACUGUAACUGACGUUGAGGCUCGAAAGCGUGGGGAGCAAACAGGAUUAGAUACCCCGGUAGUC